UUCAGAUCCACUUGGAGGAAGUUACCAGGCAGAAAAAGGCAGACUCAGCCCUGGUUUGGCAGGAUUAAUUAGGAUCCUGGUCAUAAGGUAGAGAACUGUCUGGAGUAAAUAGUACAAUAAAAUCCAGCCACCCCACACCCCAUUGGGCAAGAAUAGGCUGCGGCCCCAGGGAGUGGGAGGAGACACUUGCAGGCUGGGACACAGCAAAUCAGUGUGUGGUGGGGUGCUAGAUCUCCAGUCUUCUGCUCCCACCAGGACUUAAUUCAUCUAUUCCUUGAAUUCUGCAGGAGAUGACACCUAUGUCUGAGCUAGAAGAACCUAAGCCAAUGGAUCUCAAUGGACAGAAGAGAUCUAAGGAACUGAACUGUCAAUCUCCUGUAAAUCACCCCCCAACUCUUCGGAGACAAGACCAGCCAGAGACUGGAGUGUUCAUUAGAUUUUAGUGCCAUCUUGUGGCAAUAUUUACAGG